rnacentral:rRNA from 1 species
AACAGCCGCGGUAAUUCCAGCUCCAAUAGCGUAUAUUAAAGUUGUUGCAGUUAAAAAGCUCGUAGUUGAAUUUCGGAAUCGACGGAUUGGUCGCGCCUUCGGUGUGUACUGGUCUUGCCGAUUUCUCCCUUCUGACGAACCACGAUGUCAUUAAUUUGGUGUCGUGGGGAAUCAGGACUGUUACUUUGAAAAAAUUAGAGUGUUUAAAGCAGGCAUUAGCUUGAAUACAUUAGCAUGGAAUAAUGAAAUAGGACGUUUGAUCUUAUUUUGUUGGUUUCUAGGAUCGACGUAAUGAUUAAUAGGGAUAGUUGGGGGCAUUAGUAUUCAAUUGUCAGAGGUGAAAUUCUUGGAUUUAUUGAAGACUAACUACUGCGAAAGCAUUUGCCAAGGAUGUUUUCAUUAAUCAAGAACGAAAGUUAGGGGAUCGAAGACGAUCAGAUACCGUCGUAGUCUUAACCAUAAACUAUGCCGACUAGGGAUCGGAUGAUGUUAAUUUUUAAUGACUCAUUCGGCGCCUUAC